CAGGGGGCCGUGGCUUCAGUCACCGUCUUGAGACCCGCGGGUGUUUGUGCUGGAAAGCUUCGGCAGGGCGGCGGACUUGAUGAUCUGUUCAGGUCCAAGCUGCCCUGCCUAGGGCUGAGGGAGAGGAACCCAAGUCAGAUUUCUACCGGGAAUUGCAGUCUCCCCUUGGCGCCUGGCUCCAGAAGGGGUCUCUGAGAUCAACUCCAGACACGGCCACGCUGCCAAUAAAAACUCAAGAGUUGCCACCCUGCUUCUAGGGCUAAAGAUACAACACCUCUUAUAGUGAGAGGUGGCAACAGAACAUAGCCUGAAUGCAGCUUUAUGAGGCUGGGGCGUGGCAACGGUGGAAAGGGACUUCCAAAAGGUGCCAAGCAUCUUGGGAAGGGCUUUGUAUUAAAAGCCAAGGUAACAAAGCCAGGCAUUCAGAUGUUGGUUCCCCAUGGGGAGUAAAGACGAUACGUGAAGAAACCUGGAUGAGUGCUGAAGGUGUUUUUGGAGAUCAUGAUCCAUGAUGACAUGCCCUGAGCAAGCCAAGUGAAAAACUUGAGUUAUGGAUGGAGUCUAUACUCCAGUACACCAGAAUCAUUUUGCAUAGAUUUGUCUCCUCCUCCGUAUUGAAAACAAAACAGCAAUUCUGCUACAAAGGAAUGGGAAAUCAAGAAGACAGAAAGUCUCUCAAGUUUUAAAAUAAAAAAAUGUGCAUGUUUCAAAAGGCCACUCACAAUCGUAAAAUUAUAAGUCUGAAAGGAAACUAAAGUGUCAUUUAGUCCACUCCCAGGACACAUGCGAGAAUUCACUGUUCCUAAACAGAUGCCUAUCUAGCCUUUUCUUCAAAACUUAAUGUGACAGAGAAUCCAUAACUCCCUCUGCAGCUUGUUCUAAGCUUGGUUUGCCACUCCCAAACAUUCAAAACAUAUGGAGCAUACUCUCACAACCAUAAUAUUAUCUUAAAAAUCAUAAAAUACAU